GUAGAGAGAGAAAUUGAGUCCGGAAGCUAUCCGAUCAAGAUUUCAGUUCGGUACAGUUCGCAGUGACCAAAUGGGGUCGGAACUGAAAUGUUAAAAUUUCUUUGGACUAGUUAAGUAAAACCGAACAUGCCUGUCAAAUUUGAGCUCAAUCGGACUUUUGGAAGGGCCUGCGAAAGGUAUCUAAUCCGUGCGACUAAACGGAAUAAGUCGAGGGGCAUUAUGGUAAUUAUGCAUAGUUAGUGGAAUUCCACUAACCAGCAGGAGACCUCAGCCAUCCUUAUCCUCUGCCCUUCCCUUCCAUACGUAGAGAGAGAGAGAAAGAGAAAAGAGAGAGGGAAAGAGAGAAGAAGAAGAACAAGAAGAAGUAGAAGAAAAAGGUGAGGAUUUAUUUUUCUCCCCCUCAGCCCUCUUUUCCUGCUGCUGAAAACAGCAGCAGCAGCCCUUUUCCCUGCUGCUGAAAACAGCAGCAGCAGCAGCAGCAUCAAUAACAGCAGUAGCAGCUCAGCUGCAGGGAAAAGAAAGAAAGAAAGAGAAAGAAAAAGAAAUAUCUAAUUAAGCUUCGAGAAGUUUGAUCGGAUUGAGUGACUGAGCAAGAAAUCAGCAGGGAAAAGACUUUGAAGCAAGGAAACUUCGAUUUUUGGUAAGACUGGGAUGCUGAUGUUGUGGUGCUGCCCGAGUAAAGAGGACAGCUGAAGGAAUAAGAGUAUUCCUGUUGUUGAUGCUGCAGGAUUGCAGGAAUAGACCAUUUGAAGCAGUAAGCAAGUUAAGUCAGCGGCUAAUUAAGCAUUGGAGCUGAAAGGGCUAGUGCUAUUGUGUAGCAAGUGUAGCUGAGAAGAAAACUUUGAAGAAGUUUAAACUCGGGAAUAGUGGUUAAUUGAGAGUGGGUCUUGGAAUGCAGCAGAGGGACUAAGUGAUAGCUUCAGCUGAGAAGACUUAGAUAUUGAAGAAACUAAAUAAGGUUGACUUGGUGGUUGAGCAGCAGGUUGCCAUUGUGGAGCUGCUGCUUAAGAGAUCAGGUGUGGUGGCUGCUGCUGUGUGAACUUCUGAACACUCACAUUGAAGCUUUGGAAUGAGAUGUUGAGAGGAAAGGAAUAAAUGCUGAAAUGUUAGCUUGAUCCAGAAUUCAAUCUUGUGCGAGGUUUAAUGUGAGCUGAAAACAAACUAAUUGGGCAGCAAAUUAAGGUCGGCGAAGCGUUAAUUGCAUUAGAAGCCAAUUCGGCUCCAGUUGCAUUGAGUCGCGUGAUACCUUUGCGGAUUCACUUCGAGACGUGGACUCUAGUUGUUGACACCACUGCAGGUUUCAGUGCGAGCGUUGUGGCCGAGGAUCGAGGUAAGAGCCAGCAGCCUAGCUAGUGGACACCCGAGUUGUAGUGGUUACCAGUUUGAGUUCAUGUAUCAUCUAUUUCGGUGUACAGAGACAUGUAAAUGAAUGUAAUAAGUGCAUGUAAAUAACUAAAUGUUUCAGUUAUGCAAGUUAGUUUAAAGUUUUAAAUUACAGUGAAA